rnacentral:rRNA from 1 species
CCAGACUCCUACGGGAGGCAGCAGUGGGGAAUUUUGCGCAAUGGGCGAAAGCCUGACGCAGCAACGCCGCGUGAGUGAUGAAGGCUUUCGGGUCGUAAAGCUCUGUCGAGGGGAAAGAAGUGUAUUGUGGCUAAUAUCCACGAUACUUGACGGUACCCCUAAAGGAAGCACCGGCUAACUCCGUGCCAGCAGCCGCGGUAAUACGGGGGGUGCAAGCGUUGUUCGGAAUUAUUGGGCGUAAAGAGCGUGUAGGCGGUUUGCUGAGUCUGAUGUGAAAGCCCUGGGCUCAACCCAGGAAGUGCAUUGGAAACUGUCAGACUUGAAUACGGGAGAGGGCAGUGGAAUUCCUAGUGUAGGAGUGAAAUCCGUAGAUAUUAGGAGGAACACCGGUGGCGAAGGCGGCUGCCUGGACCGAUAUUGACGCUGAGACGCGAAAGCGUGGGUAGCAAACAGGAUUAGAUACCCUGGUAGUCCACGCCGUAAACGAUGAGAACUAGGUGUUGCGGGUAUUGACCCCUGCAGUGCCGCAGCUAACGCAUUAAGUUCUCCGCCUGGGAAGUACGGUCGCAAGACUAAAACUCAAAGGAAUUGACGG